rnacentral:rRNA from 1 species
GGAUUAGAUACCCUGGUAGUCCUUACCGUAAACGAUGUAUACUUGGUGUAACUGGAAUCAACCCCAGUUGUGCCGUAGCUAACGUGUUAAGUAUACCGCCUGGGGAGUACAGUCGCAAGGCUGAAACUCAAAAGAAUUGACGGGGACCCGCACAAGCAGUGGAGCAUGUGGUUUAAUUCGAUGCAACGCGAAAAACCUUACCCAGGCUUGACAUUCAUAGGACAGCUUCAGAGAUGAAGUCUCCCUUCGGGGCCUAUGAACAGGUGCUGCAUGGCUGUCGUCAGCUCGUGCCG